AUGCGGCGCCUACUGACCGGCGAAGCGAAGGGGGCGUUCGCGUUCCGGUUCGCGCCAGCAAGGGUUGAGAAGUUGGUGGCGCCGCCGAAGGCGACGAGCAGUGGGUGGUGGCGGAAGGCUGGGCGGGCGAGCAUGACUAUUGGGUGCAUGCAUGGUGCCUCCGUGCUGGCGUCAUCACCAGCUUUCGUGAGUACUUCAACACGUCUGUCACGAUUCGAAAGUUGGGCCGGCCAGCUAAGGAGGACGUGGUGUGGGCCAUCUGGGAGAGUCAGUCGCCCAGACCCAGGGGCCGCUCCAUGCCAUGCCUAG
rnacentral:rRNA from 1 species